rnacentral:rRNA from 1 species
UACGUAGGGUGCAAGCGUUGUCCGGAUUUAUUGGGCGUAAAGAGCUCGUAGGCGGUCUGUCGCGUCGGAUGUGAAAACCCAGGGCUCAACCCUGGGCCUGCAUUCGAUACGGGCAGACUAGAGUGUGGCAGGGGAGACUGGAAUUCCUGGUGUAGCGGUGAAAUGCGCAGAUAUCAGGAGGAACACCGGUGGCGAAGGCGGGUCUCUGGGCCAAUACUGACGCUGAGGAGCGAAAGCGUGGGGAACGAACAGG